UACGGAGGGUGCAAGCAUUAAUCGGAUUUAUUGGGCGUAAAGGGCGCGUAGGCGGAUUUGUAAGUCAGAUGUGAAAUUUCUAGGCUCAACCUAGGAGCUGCAUUUGAAACUGUGAGUCUAGAGGAUUGGCGGAGAAAAUGGAAUUCCACGUGUAGCGGUGAAAUGCGUAGAUAUGUGGAAGAACAUCGGUGGCGAAAGCGGUUUUCUAGCUAAUACCUGACGCUGAGGCGCGAGAGCAAGGGGAGCAAACAGG
rnacentral:rRNA from 1 species